rnacentral:rRNA from 1 species
AUGUUCCAUGAGCAGAACUUUGGAAGGGUACAUGACAAGGAAAAGUUUGAGAAGGAGUUGGCCAGGCUUAAGAGUGAGCAUGAAAGGGAGUUGGCCAAGCUUAAGACUGAAAAUGACAAGCUUUGCAUUGAGUACACCAAGCUUGUUGAUGAUGUAUCCAAGAUGUUUGAUUGUCAGGAUGGUAGGGUGGACAAGCAGGUGUACCAGAAACAAGUGGAGGAGGAAGAACUUGAGAAGAAGAAGAAGAAGGAGCUAGAGGAGAAAGCCAUGUUGGAGGUGCAGAUGGAAAAGCUCAAACUUACCAGGAAGGCUAUGAAGGAUGUUGAAGUUGACAGAGAUGUUCUUAAGAAGGAGAAGGCAAAACUUGAGCUUGUUGUUGCUGAGCUGCUGGAAGAAGGGUAUGGCAGCAAGGAGAAGUUAGAGCAAAUCAAGGCCAUCCUUGAGUCUUGA